CAUGAAAACCGCAUUCCAGCCUCCUUGUCUCCCUAAGUCACUGGAUUUCUUCCAUUAUAUUAUAGAAGUGAUUUCUACCUCAACUUAACUUAAUUCAGGUAUAUGCAGGCACUCUGGGGUAGAAUUUCAGUGGUUAAACUCUCUCGUGUCUAUUGAAUUCUGGCUCCAUGAAAAUGUCAGGAACACCACCUCUUGAGGCAAAGUUGCCUAAACGAAUGAUGAAGGCAACUAAAGGUGAGGCUUGGAAGAGAAAUUAACAUCGAUCAGAGGAAAGUAAUGAAGCAAUAUCUUCUGCAAGCUCCAGAAGAUAAGGAAAGAAGGAAUAAAGG
rnacentral:lncRNA from 1 species